rnacentral:rRNA from 1 species
AUUGAACGCUGGCGGCAUGCUUUACACAUGCAAGUCGAACGGUAGAGGGGGCAACCCCUUGAGAGUGGCGAACGGGUGAGUAAUGCAUCGGAACGUGCCCAGUCGUGGGGGAUAACUACUCGAAAGAGUGGCUAAUACCGCAUACGACCUGAGGGUGAAAGCGGGGGACCGAAAGGCCUCGCGCGAUUGGAGCGGCCGAUGUCAGAUUAGGUAGUUGGUGGGGUAAAGGCCUACCAAGCCUGCGAUCUGUAGCUGGUCUGAGAGGACGACCAGCCACACUGGGACUGAGACACGGCCCAGACUCCUACGGGAGGCAGCAGUGGGGAAUUUUGGACAAUGGGCGCAAGCCUGAUCCAGCCAUGCCGCGUGCGGGAAGAAGGCCUUCGGGUUGUAAAGCUCUUUUGUCCGGAAAGAAAAGCGCCGGGUUAAUACCCUAGUGUCCUGACGGUACCGGAAGAAUAAGCACCGGCUAACUUCGUG